CCCCCUCAAGAUGAGAUUUCCCAUUUCUUCGGAAAGUAAGAUCCCUGAAAGAUGAUCAGGUAGAUAGGUUUGGAGUGGAAGUGUAGCGAUACAUGGAGCGGACAAAUACUAAUCGAUCGAGGACUUAACCAA
rnacentral:rRNA from 1 species